rnacentral:pre_miRNA from 15 species
UUAAAAUUAAAUGGCGAUUGUCGGUAUGGUCUCUUUUUCAACAUAUACACCAAACAUUCUAUAUAAAGUGACUAGACCGAACACUCGUGCUAUAAUUUUAAAAU